UGGAAAACACAGCUAUUUGUUUGGUAGGAAAAUACACUUGUCAAAUGUCAAUGAAUCACUGAACUGACAGCUAUUCCCGUCGUGUUGCCAGCACCUUCUGUCCACAUUUCUCGACUUAUGUCGAGACGGGGACCGUGUGAUAUUAAAAUAAAUAUUAUGUUCCUUGUCAAACGAGUGAUUGUUGUCUCUGAACAUUCCCUCUAUUCUAAUAAAUAUUAUUUUCCGCUUGUCCAGCGAAUUUCAUUGCGCUUUAAAUUAAUUCCCGUAACACGAAACGACGUCGAGUGUUCCGAGGAAGUACCCGGAUUGGGACCUUGGCAACACCGAAGAGGAAGCGAGAAAAAAGAUGGACCAACGCCAUUUGGAAGACAGAUUUUCUCCCAAGAAUAGGCCGACAGGCCGCCUUUGAGUGUUUUGGACGAUUUUAUUCCCUUGCUGCCCUUGUUCGGCAGAAAAGCGGGCCGUGACUAACCGGCUUCCGCGGGCGCCGGGCGCGUCUCUGUCCCCUUGGAGUUGACAUUUGCUCACCGUAAACCCCCCGCAGGACAAUUUUCCUCCGACAGGAGGUGUUUGGUAGAGGCGUGGCCGUUGGAGGGCCAGACCCAGCGCUGCGGCUCCUCGUGGUUCCGACUGGCAGGUGCGGAGUGACUGGAAGCUCCGGCCAGCUGAGAGG